CCGAGGCACGGUGACCUGCCGGACGACGGACAACAGAAGGGGCCCAGGAGAGGAUCAGGGUAGAGACGCCCGGACCGCAUCACUCGUGCAACGCGGGAGAGUCUUGAGGAACACUGGCAGCCAAGGACACACUCUAUGCCCACUGCUCCCCCUCCUUCCCUUUACUGUGAUGACUUCAAGGUCUCUUCUGCCGGCCAGCAGCUUCUCUUGUUAACCCUUUUCUGUCCUGGUAUUGCUUAAAAAGAAAUGUUAAAUUAUCAGUUCAAGAUACUGGGAAAAUUAUGCUUUUGUUUCCACAGGAAAAAUAAAAAUUUACAUGGUGUGAAACCUCAAUAACCCCCCUUCCUCUAUCCCCUACAGACAAAGAGGAGCCUAAACCAGGAUUCCUAAGUGUAGAUAAGAAGUUAGACCCCUUUUUUCCCAGGUGGCUUUAUCAGCUACAGAAAAAAAAAAAAAAACACAGAGUCCGAAUAUAUGACCAUCUGACAGAGGCUAAGUGGUCAUAAAACAUCCCAAACUUCUCGAACCCCGGAGACAGCUCGUAAAACUCCUAGACAUGGUUGUUUAACAAACAAGAAAUAAAGAUAACAUACUGAUAUGAACCAGAAAGAAUGGAGGCAGGCUGUGAGAGAUGAAUUAUGUGGUCUGUGCCUUUAAGAACUAGCCUCACAAAGAAAGUGCGCGCUCCUUCCAAUCUCCCUGCUGUGCGUGAGAGAUUUGGAACGAGCCCCCUGCCGCGGCUUGUAAACUUUGACUUCAUCUGAAUAAACCUUGCUUUUUGCAUUCUGUACCUAAGUCUCCAGGAGGGUUCUUUGGGGGCGAUCUGGGCAUAGCAAUGGGUUUUGGUCAUUUGAGUUCAAUGGGUUACAAAUACUUGCCAUCAUUUAAGAGAAUUGGUUUCAAAUUAUUGUUGGUUAAGAUAAAAAAAAUGUUUUAAAAAAUAUGUAAAAUGCAAGUUAUUAGAAUAUGUAAAAGCAAGGUAUAAAGGUCUGAGGAUAAAAAGGCUUAAAUAAUGAUUAAAAAAAAUGACUUGAGAUAUAUAAAAAAAUGAAACAUGUUUCAGAUUUCUUUGUCUUGCUAUUCUGCUGUUACAUUGAGACUCCAAAGGGUCAUAGUUGUAAAAAUGUCUGUCUACUCUACAGGUAUGAAUGAAAAAUGUGGCCACAUGUAUGUUUGGUUUUGAAUGUCUGAGUUUGCAUGUCCUUUAUGUUAAGGAAUACAAGUUAAUACUAGUCAUCUGGCUAUUCAGAUACUAGUUUAAAGCAUAAACUGUUCUAUUUUAAUAAAAAAAAACCUGAGAGGUAUAUUUAACUAAUAUAUCUAUAGGUGAACAAAUUGACCUGGUUAUUGUUACCAAACUUAGAGAUAUUUUCAAGAUUGGGCCUAGAUUUGUUUGGCUCAGAUACAUUUAAUAGAUAAUGGUCCUCAAACCUGUCAAAGAUCUGAUAAAUAUGGCAUUUACAUUAUUUGUUAAAAAGCUUACUAUAGCAAACAGAGACUCCAAGCUCCCCAGCUCCUAGCAAUGACUCCCAAGGUCUCCAAAGAAGAUAUGGAGCAAUGACAAAAAGAUGCCACCUAAAUUGCGGACAACACUGACCACUGGGCAAGACGCUCUGACUCAACACCUCCUGACAGGGAUCUGGCCUAUGAGACACUGACAAGAUAAGGUCAGUUUUUACCAAGUUGCUCCUCAACAGGGAGAAUUUCACAUUAUGGGCCCAGCAGCCAAGACUGAUGCUGUCCUGACACCUGUCCUGCCAACACUAUGAAGACUAUAGGAGCCUGGGAUGAUGGCAGUCUGGGUAAUAGAUAGUCUCUGUUGUUGUUGUUGUUUUUUUUUUUUUUAAUUAGAUUUAAAAGUCUGCACUCAGGUAAAGUUUAUUCUUCUCAGAUCUUUGAUGACAUUGAUGACUGGACUAGCUAUAGCUUUCUCAGCUUAGUAAUUGAUUGAUCAAUGGAUUAAUUAAUUAAAGCUAAUAAGUCUCUUUAAAAAAAAAAAAAACAGGUUCUAAAUAUAGACUUACAGAUGCUUUUCAUUGGGCCAAGGAAAUUUCAGUCCAAUCUAUACUUGGCUCUCUAGAUAGAAAAGACACUAUGGAUUUCAGGGCAAAUUGAUAAUACUACAAUUACUAAGACUAUGGGUCCAAAAGUUCCAAAUAAGCUUGUAAGUUUUAACUCCUGUUCCUAGUUUAUAUCUAUCUCAACAGGUUUCCACUUGGCUGACAGAUACAUCCUAGCAUCAUUUGCUGGUGACAACAUACUGCAAAUGACUGUGAGCCCUGAACUUGCUGAAAGCUGAUAUGGACCAAUUCAGCCGAUAUGCAUACCAUCUCUUCAGCUGGUCAAUAAAACGUUCCCUCUUGUCUUUGACUAACAUUCUGGCUUUCCAGGGCCUUGACAACAACGUCCCAAUGUCAGCAGGAAGUAAUUAUAGAAGAGAAAACAUCGCCCUUGUUUCCCGCCCCCCUGGAAUGUUAGAUCAAAAGGGAAUUUCUUGUCAUAGGGAACCUGAGAUAAAGUUCCAAGUUCUUUGAGGAUAAGGAACUCUGUCAGCCAUCAAAAGGCUUUUGGCCCUUGUGCUUCUGCUAAUUACUGUUGGCUCUUAUAUCACUGGUGUCUUAACUAAAUGAUGAUUCAUGUCUGGGUACCACUAAACUGAGGAUGCUAGAAUUCCAAUAUCCACCUCUGAACCCAUGACACACUUGCAGAUGGCAAAAACUAAAUAAGGGGAAGCUCGCUUUGCCAUUGAUAAUGGGAAAGCUCUUAUGUUCUGGUCCAAUUAGUCUCCGAUAUGGAAUUCUUUGAGCAGAGAGGCAGAUACACUCGAGAACCUGUGUCUAUGACUAUUGCCCUAUUGUUAGGUAUUGGGGGUAUCACUGCAGGAAUUGGUACAGGAACUACUGCCCUCGUACAGAGCAACCACCUUAUGCAGUUACAAAUGGCUAUGACUACUGACCUAGAGGCCAUAGAAAGAUCCAUUUCUGCUCUAGAGAAAUCUUUAACCUCGCUCUCUGAAGUUGUGUUACAAAACAUAAGAGGUCUGGAUUUACUAUUUUUAAAGGAGGGGGGAUUAUGUGCAGCCUUAAAGAAAGAAUGCUGCUUUUAUGCCGACCAUACUGGUAUUGUCAGGGAAUUGAUGGAAAAAUUAAGGAAAAGGCUAGCCCAAAAAAAAAAAAAAAAAAAGGGAGUUUAAAAAUCAGCACAGGUGGUUUAAAAAUUGGCUGCAAGGGUCCCCCUGGCUCUCCACCUUGCUACCUACCAUUCUAGCCCCCUUAGUUGUUUUUCUCCUUCUCAUUACCUUUGGUCUCUGGGCCUUUCAGCAGUUGACUCAGUUUAUCAAAAAUCAGAUUGAUUCGGCCUCACCACGACACAUCUCGAUUCAUUAUCAUAGAGUAGAUUCCGAGGAGGCCAGCCAGGAGCCCCAUCAAGGACUCAGAUUCAGUGUCCUAAGGCCCUAGCGUCCCCACGGUCUUGCUAGAGGAUACCCAAUGACGGGAAUAGUACAGGGCUCACGCCGGAGACAACAGCGUACAGAGGUCGUCGAGACCGGCUCAACAUGGCACGCUGCCGAGCGUGGGAAGCCCCCUGUGUAGCCUAAGACAGGGACUCUCUCGGACCCUAGCCACCCCAAUCACAAUGGACUUGGUCCAUUUUUGAGAAAAGAGGGGGAACUGUUAGAGACCAACUCCGGACAUCUGUGUCCUGGACUUUGUCAAGGCUUGACAAGAGGUUCCUGGCCUAAUUGCAGGGUAUAUGACUAGAUAAAAGCUUCCUGACCUAACUGCAGGAGAUGUGACUAGAUAAGACCUUCCUGGCCUAACUGCAGGAGAUGCGAUUAGGUAAACUUUUGGAGCCUGUCAACUGCAGGGGGCCCGGGAUCAAAGCCAACUCGCCCUGACCCCUCCCUUAGGAAUUUUCUCUAUCCCUGCUUCCCCUGCUCCCCCUCCCUGCCUGAAGCCCUGCUUAUAAGCCUCAACACCCAGUCAAUAAAUGAGACCUUGACGAGACUCA